rnacentral:tRNA from 1 species
GGAGCUGUGCCUGAAUAUAAAGGAUUACUUUGAUAGAGUAAAUAAUGGAGGUUCAAGUCCUCCCAACUCCU